CAUUUCAGGAACAGCUCAGAGCAAAGUGCCAAUUUCAAAUCUUCUCAGAAGCACCAUGAUCCCCUCCAACCAAGUUACUGCAAUAGCCCUUUGAGUUAACUGGAUUCUACAAUUGCCGAUCUCCACCCAAAAUCAGAGUACGAUGGGAAACUGAAGCUUAAUGAAGGUUAUUGGUGGCACACCAAGGACGGAAAAACAAGAGAAGGCCAAACCCAAAUACAAAGGAGAGAAGAACAAGCUCUAUUUCCAAAGGCACCGUGUGGACUUUGACAAAAUUUUCCACCCAAAUUUGUGCAGCAGAGAUCUGGAGAAAAACCUAUCCCAGAAGAUCAAACAAAGGAGGAGUCAGAACCUACCACGAGCUGAAAAAUCGGAGGAGACAAAGACCUCUAAGAGCAUCCCACAGAAAGCGAGUACUACAGGCUCCCUGAGAACUAGGCAAGACACCAGUGAGUGCAGGACGAAGGAGAAGCUAGCAUGCCUCCUCUUCUUUUUUUGUAUUUCCCACCUAUUUGUGGCAGAUACUGAGCUCUAGAACACCUUGUCAUAGCCUUCUCUGUAUGGAAAGUGCCUGUUCUUUAAG
rnacentral:lncRNA from 1 species